AGAGACGCCGAGCGACUUGCUCAAGGUCACACAGCUACUGAAUGGUCCUCUGCAAAAUGAGAGAAUUUUAACAUCAACCAACCUUCCUGUGAGGGUAGUUGGUAGCAACAAUGAGUGACUACCAUGGGUAAAGUCUUCCCAAGCACAAUUGUGUGAUGGCUCUCAGCGGGCAGCCCAGCUCUACAGGCAAACAUCAUUCUUCGUGGUUCUGUUUGAGGAGUGUCUGGGACAGUGCUCAUCAUACAGUAGGUGCUCAGUACAUGCUCAGUGAAUGAAUGAAGAUGGUGGA